CCUACGGGGGGCAGCAGUGGGGAAUAUUGCACAAUGGGGGAAACCCUGAUGCAGCGACGCCGCGUGUGGGAAGACGGUCCUCUGGAUUGUAAACCACUGUCCCCAGGGACGAAGAUGACGGUACCUGGGGAGGAAGCUCCGGCUAACUACGUGCCAGCAGCCGCGGUAAUACGUAGGGAGCGAGCGUUGUCCGGAAUUACUGGGUGUAAGGGGAGCGUAGGCGGGACUGCAAGUUGGGUGUCAAAUCUACCGGCUCAACCGGUAGCCGCACUCAAAACUGCAGUUCUUGAGUGAAGUAGAGGCAGGCGGAAUUCCUAGUGUAGCGGUGAAAUGCGUAGAUAUUAGGAGGAACACCAGUGGCGAAGGCGGCCUGCUGGGCUUUUACUGACGCUGAGGCUCGAAAGUGUGGGGAGCAAACAGGAUUAGAUACCCGUGUAGUC
rnacentral:rRNA from 1 species